CCUACGGGGGGCAGCAGUGGGGAAUAUUGGACAAUGGGGGCAACCCUGAUCCAGCCAUGCCGCGUGUGUGAAGAAGGCCCUCGGGUUGUAAAGCACUUUCAGUGAGGAAGAACGCCUGGUGGUUAAUACCCAUCAGGAAAGACAUCACUCACAGAAGAAGCACCGGCUAACUCCGUGCCAGCAGCCGCGGUAAUACGGAGGGUGCGAGCGUUAAUCGGAAUUACUGGGCGUAAAGCGCGCGUAGGUGGCUUGAUAAGCCGGUUGUGAAAGCCCCGGGCUCAACCUGGGAACGGCAUCCGGAACUGUCAAGCUAGAGUGCAGGAGAGGAAGGUAGAAUUCCCGGUGUAGCGGUGAAAUGCGUAGAGAUCGGGAGGAAUACCAGUGGCGAAGGAGGCCUUCUGGACUGACACUGACACUGAGGUGCGAAAGCGUGGGUAGCAAACAGGAUUAGAUACCCCUGUAGUC
rnacentral:rRNA from 1 species